AACGAACGCUGGCGGCAUGCCUAACGCAUGCAAGUCGAACGAGACCUUCGGGUCUAGUGGCGCACGGGUGCGUAACGCGUGGGAAUCUGCCCUUGGGUUCGGAAUAACUUCGGGAAACUGAAGCUAAUACCGGAUGAUGACGUAAGUCCAAAGAUUUAUCGCCCAAGGAUGAGCCCGCGUAGGAUUAGCUAGUUGGUGAGGUAAAGGCUCACCAAGGCGACGAUCCUUAGCUGGUCUGAGAGGAUGAUCAGCCACACUGGGACUGAGACACGGCCCAGACUCCUACGGGAGGCAGCAGUGGGAAUAUUGGACAAUGGGCGAAAGCCUGAUCCAGCCAUUCCGCGUGCAGGAUGAAGGCCCUCGGGUUGUAAACUGCUUUGUACGGAACGAAAGGUUUCUAUUAAUACUAGGAGCUCAUGACGGUACCGUAAGAAUAAGCACCGGCUAACUACGUGCCAGCAGCCGCGGU
rnacentral:rRNA from 1 species